rnacentral:rRNA from 1 species
UACGGAGGGUGCAAGCGUUGUUCGGAAUUACUGGGCGUAAAGGGCGCGUAGGCGGCCUUCUAAGUCGAACGUGAAAUCCCCGGGCUCAACCCGGGAACUGCGUCCGAGACUGGAAGGCUUGAAUCCGGGAGAGGGAUGUGGAAUUCCAGGUGUAGCGGUGGAAUGCGUAGAUAUCGGGAGGAACACCAGUGGCGCAGGCGGCGUCCUGGACCGGCACUGACGCUGAGGAGCGAAAGCGUGGGGAGCGAUCCGG